UUGAUCCGGAUGGAAACCAUGGGUGAGCGG
rnacentral:piRNA from 1 species